rnacentral:lncRNA from 1 species
GAAUGAAUGUACAAAUCAAGAUAUGCUUGAGAGAAGACAAUAUUUUAGCUUUGUUAUAUUUAGCUAUGUAAUAGAAUAUUAAUAAUAAAGUAUUAACCAAUGUCAUAUAUUUUGGGAGCUUUUUAUGCUUCAUUUUAUUUAAUGCUAACAAUAAUCCAAAAAGGUAGAUUUUAUUAUUCUUUAUGAUAGAUGAAGUAACUGAGGCUUAGAAAUGCUAUUUAGUUUGGUAUUUAAUUACUAAAGCUCACAUUACUGUGGUACUUCCUAGAGUAUGUUCAAAUGCUGAUGAAACUAAUCCUACAAAUAUAGAGAUAUAUGUUUUAGGAAAGAUGGAUAACUGUAGGAAUAAAGUUCUUGAGUUGACAAAAAAAGGGAUGAGAUCCAGUGUAUCAUUGGAAGUUUUGGCCGUAGCAAUAAAGUUCAUCAGUUGUAACAGGUGGAAAAUGGAGUUCAUGGGCAUAGAUAAUGAUAAUUAGGUAGAAUUGUUAGUGAUAAAAUGAAGUAUUUUGUUUUAUGACAGCAUCCAUUUCCUCAGUGAAAUAGGAGGCAAGACUAUCAGCUGAGGCAUGGUUAUCAAACUUUGACCAUGGAGCCAUUAUGAAAUAGUCAAGUUUGGGAGUGGAGGAUGGGGGUAGCAAGAGGAUGGCGGGGCUGUGCUCAGCACCUACUUGAGGUCUGUGGUCAUGAAUUUAUCUGAGACCAGGUGUUCACUGAAGUCAGGUGUUUUUCUCUAGUGAUAGUUCACUGCUGGGUUUAGAUGCAAAACAGGAAGAACAUUUAAAUGUAUCCAGUGGUGUAAUUUUUGAAAUAGCAUGAAGAAGGGUAGGAGAGGAAAAGACAUUUUGAAAAUGUAUAAAUAAAUAAUUUCUGUGAUUGGUCUCACGAUCUAACUAAGGAAAAGUAGAAAGUCAAACGUGACAAAUGACAAAACAGAAAAAAAAAAUGCAGGUCCCAGUGCAGUGAAAAAAUGUGGGAAUAAAGUAAAGAAAACUCCAUAGUCAUAACAAAGAGAUCAGUGAGUACCUGUAGAGUCAGUGCCUGACCCUUAUUCCUUCCUUCUGGUCCUCCUUCCAAACGAAAACAGUUUUUGGUUGUUGCUGUUAUUGUUUUGGUCUGAGGACUUUCUUUUCCUUUGCAAAUCAUAAGCGUAAGAGAAUUAAUACCUUUCUGAAUAGACUGCAACCAAGGACUGCUGGCAGUUAUAAAUACUCCAAAUCCCUCUCCCUUAGGUGUGAUAAAUUUGAGACUGUGUCUUACACCAUUUCCCAAACUUCCCCAGUUGGAUUAGGCUUCAGCCAGCCAGGUGGGAACUUGCUGGACAACGCACCUUUAAUUGACUCUAUCUCUUUCCUGUCUUGCUUCCUCGCUCCCUACUACUGUUCCCUGUAAUCAUUUCCCAAAUAAACUAAUUCUAUUCAAGUCCUUAUUUCAAGGCCUGCUUUCUCAGGGGACCCAACCAACAACUCCUCCUUUGAGCCUCAAGAGCUCCUCUCAAAACACUUACCAAAAUACACUUUGUGGUUUCUUACUUGUCCUUCUCUCCAUUAGACUGUUUCCCCAUGAAAGGAAAAGUAUGUCACCACCUUUCUGUCUCCUUCUCCUAGUACAGUUCCUGCUAUGUAAUAACAACAACUUAAAUAUACAGUAAAUGGAACAGAAUGCUCAAUUAAAAUGGAUGCUUUUGCUGACAAAGGAUUGGAAGUAUCUUCUGAACUUGUGGAGGCAAAACUAGAUUAGGUUCAGUAUAACAUGAACAUUAUUUGUAGCAUAUUCUUGGCAAUGUAAUUCUUUGAAAUUGAUAAUCCACAGUAGAAUGUCAAGUCUAAAAUUUUCACCAGCCAAAAUAUAUCACUAUUUUAGAUUGUUAAAUUUGAGGGAGUUGAAUAAUAUAAUAUGGUCUCUUCAGAUACAUAUUUAACGAUGCUAAGGAGUUGUGUGAUUACACAUUUAUCAUUUUUCCCUAAGCUGUUUAUUCUAUGAAUUCUUUUAACGUCAGCAACACAGAAAUAACUGUAGGAAAAUUUUUGUUUUUUGCAUCAUAAACACUUAACAUGGAAGAUGCUGAGUAAAUAUUCAUAGAAUAAACAUUCUUGUGACAAAGAUUAUCAUUUUAAAGUAAAUUAUUGUUGGAAUAGAUUAAAAUGUUUUUAAAAUUAGGAAAUAAAAGCACAGUAAUAAAGUUCUUUAUAUAUUUUUUAAUUGUGAUUUGACUAUCAUCUAAGUAACUGCUAUUUAUAUACCUGUUUGCUACUGCUGAUUACUUUAUAAAGUUCAAUUACUCUGAUGGCUAAAUAUCACAGUCAUUGUGUAACUAACUAAACCAAAAGCCAUACUCGCUGUGAUACAGAUAUAUUUGUGACAAUGCUUAUUUGCAUUUGCAUAUCUCAACAACUGCUCAAGUAUCUGCUUUCUAGCAAUUAGGCAGCUGCUACUUAAAAUCAAUAGUGGUAAACUCUGGUUGUGUUUGGUUUGGAAACGAAGUGUUGUCUUGUGCAGCAUUCUGGUACUUUGCAGAGUAUUAAUGAAGUCACUUUGCUUCAUGCUGUUGUGUCACAGCUACUUGGCAUCCUUUCCUCCUCAGCUGGCUAUUGCAUUACUUCAUCUAUUUUCCUUUCAUCCUUUGUCUCAUUCACAGGCUUUGCCUUUGAAUGGUUUUGAAUUUCCCUUGUCAAGAGUUAAUUUACACUUUUUAAAAAAUGUAUAGCUGUGAAGCCUGACCUGGUUGAAAUAUGUUGGGUAAUUUAUUAACAAAAGCUGUGUGUGAACUAUUUAGGAGUUCCAUUUGAAUUUCCUAAACAGUUGGGGAAUUAGCUUCAUGGAGGGCACAGGUAUGUAUGGUAAAAACUGGCAGGCAAGUGGACAUUAAUUGACUGAAAAGAGAGCUUCAGUCAUACUGGCUUCUGUACAAGUAAAACAAUCAGUUUUGAGUGAUGAAUUAUAUCUAACCCUGUGCUAAUAAUUGAAAUAUGUACAAAACACUCAUAUCAAAUCUCCUGUAUGCGUUGCCUUUGUAGUGUUAUGGCUUAUACUUUAGCACCAAAUUUUGCCUUGUUAUGGUGUUUGUGUAAGUUCGCUUAGGAUAGAAACAUGUUUUAGAAGUAUAGUACAAAAAAUAGCUUAAAAAUAUAAUGAUGGAGUUAAACUAAAUGCUAUCGGAAUACUGCUCUACAGUUUUUAAAGACACCAUGCUGUCUCAUACCAGUGUACCUUUUUUGCACAUGAUAUUUUUUCUGAAAUUUACUUCCCUCACCGCAAGCCCCAUCUCCUGCCUACCCUAGGAAAUUCUGCAUUUCUUUCAAGUCUGUGCACAAACUUCACCUGAAUCUCCCAGGCUAAGUGAGACAGUCCAUUCAUCCUCCUUAAUCCCAUUGUACUUGUCUCUGGAAGACAGGAUAAUACAUGCCAUGGAAUUAACUAUGUGCUAAAGGCUUUAGUAGGAUGAUAAAUGCUCGAACUCAAAACUCCCUAAUUUUGUUAAAUAUAUAUCUGAAGAGACAAUAUUGUACUUUGUCACCAAUUCUCAGUAUUUUACAUAAUUAGGCUCACUAAAUAAAUAUUUCUAAAGGCAUUGCUUUGCAGAUAUGUCUUAUAAAGUCUCCUAAAUCAUUUCACUUUAAUCCAGGAUUUAAUAUUACUGUGUUGCUCUACAGCCUUUGGGCUUUAUCCUUUUAGAACAUUUUGUAACUCUUUUUCUCUAUCACCUGAAGUCUCACUAUUUUUCUUCUGGAUCUUCAUCCUUUUCCCUAAGUCAACCAUAUAAGCUACCUUAAAAAUAGUUAAGAGUUGUAAUGAGAGGUACACAACAAUUUCUUUUCUGCUAUAAACCCUGGAAUUAGUUGCAUGAAGUUUUGGUUGACCAUAUCUCAAAAUCACAGUCUUAAUGCCCGUCACAGCAAAAUGAGGUGCUAUCUGCAUGGAAUUAGUUGCAUGAAGUUUUGGUUGACCAUAUCUCAAAAUCACAGUCUUAAUGCCCGUCACAGCAAAAUGAGAUGCUAUCUGCCAGUAGAAAAAACUUCAAAAAAUACAGAAUAUACAGAUCCCUCCUAUAUAUUUGAUUAUGUGAAUGUUUAGUUUCCCUUCCUAAUUUAGGGAUACUAAAUAAAACAUUUAAGAACUUAAAGAAGAUAAUAUUUGCUUGCUUCUCACUGUGCAAGAAAUCCCAUUAUAGUGCCAUCGAAUAAAUGAAUUAUACUGAGUCUUAGAGUCGCUUUGGGUUUGGAGAUUUUAAUACUUUACAGAGGUAGUCUACUCAAAGUAUGCCAAUUUUUCAUGUUUUGUUUUUAGGGUGGGGAUUCAUGCCUAUCUUGGAGCCAUGAAUACAGUAAUUGGAAAACAAGUGGCUCUUUAAACAUUCUUCUACUAUUGCUCAAACUAUAGACCUAUAAAAUGUAUAGACUUGAAUCAUUUAAAAAUAUUGUAUGUUAAGCUUUAGAAGUCAAUAAGCUUGAGUUGUACUAAGGGCUUCUUAAAUGUAAAGGUUAAAAGCCUUCCACUAACUAUAUCAUGAUGAUUAAAAACCAUACAUUUAAAUUUGGAAUUGAGCAUAUAAAUCAUUCAAUCAACUAGAAAAUCAUGGGAACAAGAAGGUAACUUUUAGGCAUUUCUUAACCAAAUCAUCUCUAUUCUCUACAUGCAUCAAUAAUAACUCGAGUAUUUGAUUUAGAAAUGUGUCUAUUUUGUAAUGAGCUGCUUCACAGUGGAAAAAAAAAAAGGUGGGGAAAGCUGAAACCAAUUUUCUAACACCUUAGACUGUAGUCCAUCAGAAAUGCAAAUGUGAAAUUCCCUGAAGUUAUGAUAAGCUUCAUAGACAAAACAAUGACUUUCAUAGAAGAUAAUUUGUAGCAUUCAGGAACUGAAAAGUUGGCUUUGGAUGAUUAGAGACUCAAAGAAGAAAGGCAGAAGUAUCAGUCUGAAUGAAGAUAUGUUUAUUCAGCUUACAUAAAGUCAUAGCCAGCCAUCUUACAGGUUUUAUUAAAUUUGAGUUUCCUCAAGUCUAAAAUAUUCUCAUUCUCAUAGCAUAAAUCGCUAACUUUAAGAGUGUGUGUGUGUGUGUGUGUGUGUGUGUAAAUCUGAUCAUAUUGAAAUGCAGGUGAAUGUUUGGCUCCACUAUGUCUAUUUACUUAACCUUGGCACUCACCACACAAACCAGCUUGCCCCCUAUUUCCAUCCAUAGCAGCAUCAGGUUUCUUUGAAGUCUGUAAACCUAGCUGCCAAGGUAAUUCUAGUUUUGGAAAGCAUCACGUAGUUGAGACACAAAGUUAGAAAUCAGUUAAAUAUUGAGUUAGGGGUAGGUUGACAGAAAUAGGGAAUUGUCUGAAGAGUAGUACAGAUUGCAGUGAUUAUUUCAGGGGCAAUUUAAGUUCUCUGAUUUAAGCCUUCAGCUGGCUGUUAAGGAUUGACAGAACAGAUUUAUUUGUUUGUCCUUUCAUUCAUUUAUUCAACAUUUGCUUGAAGGAGUACUUGUUGUAAUAGAGAGAUGGAUAAGCUCCGGAGGCUGGAGCCACAGGUGAGUGGAGGUGGGUGGGUGGAAUGGUGGGGAGGGUCAAUACCCAAAAACUUUGUUGCACCUUUUUAUUUACAUGUGUAUGACAAGGUAAGAGACAGACACUUUUUAAAAAGAUAUGAUCUUGCAAGAUUAACGUGUGCACUGGAAAAUUAUGUGGGAUAGGGAAGGGAGUUUCUCAGUAGAAGGAAGAGUGCUGGUGAAGUUGUCAAAGUUUCCCACCACCUGGUGUAUCUACGGGUAACUAGAACAGGUGACUAGGUUGAAGCAAGGGAGGUCACAGGAACAGGUCACAUUGGAGAGCUAAGUGUAUGCACAUGUCACUGAAGUGCUUUAAUCGCAGUGCCGUCCCUCCAAGUAGGAGUGCUGAGGAUUUCCCUGAUACACAAGGCUCUUUCAGGACUUAAUUUCACUUCACUCUCUGUUUCUUAGUCUUCUAAAUGUUUUGGACCAUUAAAAGGGACUGGAGAAUGGCCAUGCCAAGUGGCCUGUAUAAAAAGUAAGCAAAGUCAUGGGGCCAGAAUGCCAUUUUUCUGAAUGAACCACAAAUGGCAUGCUGUUGAUGGAAAACCACUGAAGACAGGAAGAAGAGGAACAGGCAGUUUGAAGUUCUCAGACAUUGGACUUGGAUUAGAACUUAUACCAUCAGCCUCCUGGUUCUCAGGCCUUUGGACUCAGAUUAGAACUAACUCACUGGCUUUCCUCAGUCACCAGCUUGCAGAGGGCAGAUCAUGGGACUUCUCAGUCUCCAAAAUCAAAGAUAUUUCGUGAUUAGGGUUGACUUCAGAGUCAGAACUAUUGCCACAAAGCAAAAUGGAACUAUUCAUGCCAAUUCUUCAGGAUUGAAGGGAUCAGAAAUCUGUGCCAAGGACUCUUAGCAUAGAUCCACUUGACAUGGAGAUCCACUCUACUGAAAUGGCAGUGGUAUCAUCAGAGGCACAGUAACAUCCAGACGCAAUCCUUACUGCCUGUGGUUCCUAGAUACCUAGAUGACAGUUUGAAGACUUCACUACGGGGCCAGUGUCAUUCAAAGAUGUGGCUGUGGAUUUCACCCAGGAGGAGUGGCGGCAACUGGACCCUGAUGAGAAGAUAACAUACGG